GACGAACGCUGGCGGCGUGCUUAACACAUGCAAGUCGAACGAUGAAGGAGAGAGCUUGCUCUUUUUGGAUUAGUGGCGAACGGGUGAGUAACACGUGGGUAACCUGCCCAUCAGAAGGGGAUAACACUUGGAAACAGGUGCUAAUACCGUAUAACAAUCAAAACCGCAUGGUUUUGAUUUGAAAGGCGCUUUCGGGUGUCGCUGAUGGAUGGACCCGCGGUGCAUUAGCUAGUUGGUGAGGUAACGGCUCACCAAGGCCACGAUGCAUAGCCGACCUGAGAGGGUGAUCGGCCACAUUGGGACUGAGACACGGCCCAAACUCCUACGGGAGGCAGCAGUAGGGAAUCUUCGGCAAUGGACGAAAGUCUGACCGAGCAACGCCGCGUGAGUGAAGAAGGUUUUCGGAUCGUAAAACUCUGUUGUUAGAGAAGAACAAGGAUGAGAGUAACUGUUCAUCCCUUGACGGUAUCUAACCAGAAAGCCACGGCUAACUACGUGCCAGCCGCCGCAGUAAAAC
rnacentral:rRNA from 1 species